rnacentral:rRNA from 1 species
UACGGGGGGGGCAAGCGUUGUUCGGAAUUACUGGGCGUAAAGGGCUCGUAGGCGGCCAACUAAGUCAUACGUGAAAUCCCUCGGCUUAACCGGGGAACUGCGUCUGAUACUGGAUGGCUUGAGUUCGGGAGAGGGAUGCGGAAUUCCAGGUGUAGCGGUGAAAUGCGUAGAUAUCUGGAGGAACACCGGUGGCGAAGGCGGCAUCCUGGACCGAUACUGACGCUGAGGAGCGAAAGCCAGGGGAGCAAACGAG